rnacentral:rRNA from 1 species
GGAAAUCUCACCAGGCCCGGACACUGGAAGGAUUGACAGAUUGAUAGCUCUUUCUUGAUUCGGUGGGUGGUGGUGCAUGGCCGUUCUUAGUAGGUUGAGUGUUUUGUCUUGUUAAUUCCGAUAACGAACGAGACCCCAACCUGCUAACUAGCCCUCGGGUCCUGCUUCUGUUGGGCCCGACGGAAUGAUUCGCUUCUUAGAGGGACUCGCGGCGCCUAGCCGCACGAAGGGGGGCGAUAA